rfam:Fusobacterium necrophorum subsp. funduliforme 1_1_36S genomic scaffold supercont1.5, whole genome shotgun sequence.
CUGGGUAGUCACGUUUGGCAUAGAUAACCGACUGAAAGCAUCUAAGCGGGAAACUAGCUUCAAGAUAAGUAUUCUACGAGGAAGCUUCGAGAACAGGAGCUGGAUAGGUUGGGGGUGUACGCGCAGUAAUGUGUUUAGCUGACCAAUACUAAUCGAACGAAAUUUUAAUCAG